UACGUAGGGUGCAAGUGUUAAUCGGAAUUACUGGGCGUAAAGCGUGCGCAGGCGGCUUUGCAAGACAGAUGUGAAAUCCCCGGGCUUAACCUGGGAACUGCAUUUGUGACUGCAUGGCUGGAGUGCGGCAGAGGGGAUGGAAUUCCGGCGUGUAGCAGUGAAAUGCGUAGAUAUGCGGAGGAACACCGAUGGCGAAGGCAAUCCCCUGGGCCUGCACUGACGCUCAUGCACGAAAGCGUGGGGAGCAAACAGG
rnacentral:rRNA from 1 species